UUCAUAAAUCAUAACACUCUAUCCAUUAUACUUUUCAAACACCAACACUCACCCUCUCUCUCUAAUAUCUCUCUUAUUUUUUUGUUUUAUUCUUUCCUUUUUUUUAAAUUUCCUUUUUCCUUUAUUUUAUUAUUGUAUUAACUUUUUCUUUUCAAUAAUAUAGAUAAGUGAGAGACAUAUAUAAGUGAUUUCUAGGGUCUCAACAUAAUUGAAAUGUCUAAAUUACACUUCUUGAUGCUCUUCCUUAAAA
rnacentral:lncRNA from 1 species